AUUGCCGGGUAGCUAUGUUCGGAAAAGAUAACCGCUGAAAGCAUCUAAGCGGGAAACUUGCCUCAAGAUGAGAUCUCACUGGGAACUUGAUUCCCCUGAAGGGCCGUCGAAGACUACGACGUUGAUAGGCUGGGUGUGUAAGCGUUGUGAGGCGUUGAGCUAACCAGUACUAAUUGCCCGUGAGGCUUGACCAUAUAACACCCAAACA
rnacentral:rRNA from 1 species